AUAGCCCAGGUCCCAGGGCAGGUGCGGAUAGCACCCCUGUGCCUGGGCCCCCUCGCCCCGGCGCUCUGGGCAUACCCUGAUUUUAACGCUCUCCCUGGGGUUAACCACGCUGGUGUGUGUGUGGUCUUUCCUGCUUCUCGCGGGCGGGAGCGGGAUUGUGCGUGGCUGCGGACCCAGAGCCUCGUGCUCGGGGCGGAAGAAUGGCUGAACAAACGAAUGAGAGCCCGAGCAAAUGGGCAGGUGGACGCCCGGCAACCGCGGCUGACAGCGAGCGGCGCAGUGAGGGAGCGGACCCGGCCACGAGCGAGGGGUGCCGGAGCGGAUGGAUGCGUCAGCCGCUGGGAGCGCGGACGCACUCGCCGCAGCCAGCGGCAGAGGGAAGGGAGGAAGCCGCCCCCUCAGAGGGCAGGGGUCGGCUCCCUCCUCCUCCGCAGCCCCUGGAAGUUCCGGGCUGGGGUCGAGGGAGCCAGCGUGAGUCACCGGAUGCAGCGAGCGCCAGCAGAUGUCACCGCGCGCGGCAGGGUGGGUGCCGGGAAACCAUGGCAACCAAGCCCCCUCUCCCGCUGAGGCGCCCAGGGACACGGGAGAAUCCCCGUGCUUGUGUGUGGGAAACUUGAGGCCCGAGGUGCGGCUCCGACCUCUCUCUCCCGCCCCUUUCUGUCGGAUUCUUUCCCAUCAAACCCUCCCACGGUCUCUGAAACCAUGCGCAUCUGAGAAUCCACGCAGGGGCCCAGCAGUGCCCUCUCUGAGCCCCGGUUUUCAUUCACUGAUGCCGAGACGACCCCUGGCCACACAGCGCUGAUGAGAUGAUGGAUCGCAGAGGGCGCAUCUCAUCCCACAGUGCCUGGCCACGUGCUACGCAGUGGAGCCAACAAGAGAAGGAUCCAGCAGCGGGGCCUGCCCUCUGGUAGCUCCCAGCGAGGGGAGAGGCAGCCACACCGGGGAGGAGGUGACACAAAGCCCUCCGGCUGCCACGGUGCCUCCACAGGCCCCAGAGGGGACGGGGUGGGGAACUCCACUCUGGGGUGGGAGAGGCCACGCAGAGUUGGGGAGGGGUCCCAGAGGGCAAGCCAGGGCAGGCAGGAAGUGCUGAGGUGCCCCCGUGAGUGAUGGGGAAGACAAGGAAUGAGCAUUGAGGAGCACCGAGGGAGAACUGGGCAGACUGCGGAGCGAGGAUGCGCCCGGACCUCACAGGCCACAGCUCGCUGCCAGUGCUGCCCGGUCAUCGCUGCCGAGUUUCACCGUGGGGACGCCAGCGGUGACAGCGGGGCUCACCCGUCCUUCACCGCACCUGCCGUGACCCACACGUCGCACGGUCAGCCUGCACUUGGCUUCAUCCGCAGCCACGGCAGAGUCCCUCCCGUCUCUGUGCCUCAGAGAAAUGAAGGCACCUGCAGCAGCCAACGCAGGUCUGGGCGACCACAAAGCUGUGUUCUCCACAGGAGAGGGGCCCGGGGUCCCAGGCUUGGGUGAUACGCGCUGCGGUCACUCUGUGUUCGCCCAAGGCCAGGGGCACCUGCUGUGGUUCGAGCGUCCCCAACAAAGUGCAUGGUGAAAUUUAAUCCCCGUGGGAGGUCUGAAGAGGUAGGCCAGGGAUGGGGGGCUUUAGGAGGUGAAUGGGGUGGGCGCGCUUCCCUCAUGGGUGGAUGGGUGGGUUCCCGGUUGUCUCAGGCUCUGCUGUGGGAGCCGCGGGGCUCUGUGCUGUGCUCCCCUCUCACCGCAGGACAGCCUGCUCCAGAGCCCCCGCCAGCAAGGAGCCGGGCACCUGCAAGUCCUCCACCUCACAAGCCCAGCUUCCAGGGCUGGGGGCAGAAGGAGCUUCCUGCUUUAUGAAUGGCUCGGGCUCUGGCAUUCAGGCCAAGACUGCACCACGGCUGGUGGGGGGGACUGCCAGCCUGUGCCCUGGAACAGCCGGGGGACAGCCGGGGGACAGCUAAGGACAGCCGGAAAGGCCCAAGGCGGGAGAUGCGGGACUCCAGUCAGACACGCAGACAGGUGCAAGUUGGACUCCCCUUGGAAACACCAAAAGGAUGCUCGGUCUCUCUCUCCUUGAACCCCACGUCUCACAACCCAGCCACGUGAGCUGAUGGAUUUCCAGGCUCCCACAGAGGAAGGGCCCCGGCCACUGUCCCUGUGCUUUGGCCUCCUGGACGUAGCCAGGUGUCAGGAGGAAGAAGACAUUUCUAAGACUACAGAAGCUGGGCUGGUGGAUGGCGUGGAUGGCUGUGGAUGGCCGUGGAUGGCCGUGGAUGGCUGUGGAUGGCUGUGGAUGGCCAUGGAUGGGCCAUGGAUGGCCGUGGAUGGCCGUGGAUGGCCGUGGAUGGCUGUGGAUGGCCAUGGACGGGCCGUGAUGGCUGUGGAUGGGCGUGGAUGGGUGUAGAUGUGCCAUGGAUGGGCCGUGAAUGGGCCGUGGAUGGCCGUGGAUGGCCGUGGAUGGCCUUGGAUGGCCUUGGAUGGGCCAUGGAUGGCUGUGGAUGGCUGUGGGUGGCUGAGGAUGGCUGUAAGACUCAGGAUCUAAUGUCACCUGCUGAGGGCUCGGGCAGCAGGGGUGAAAGGACCUCCCCUCUCCCUAACCUGGGGGCCAGCAGCAGCAGAGUGGAGUCGGGUGUUGUGGGGUGGUGUGAAGGGAGCCCCUGGCUAUUUCCGUGACAUGUGGGGCAACUGACCCCGCCUCUGCAGCCAGGUGCCCCCUGGGGAGGGAUUGGGAUGGGGACACUUCCCCGAAUCUGACCAUCACCCUCGUGAGGGGUGGUCUUAGCCAAAAGAAAUUUAUUUCCUACCCCUGGCCAGAGAGGCCUCCAGCGAGACGGAGGUGGUCUUGGGAAAUAAAGCGCGCUACAGCCCCUCGACCUGUGCCGUCCCGUGCUCACGUCUCCCCCCAAGUGCAAGGCCCAUGUUUGAUGCCCAGCUCUGCCACUGACAGCGGUGCCACCCUGGUCACGUCGUGAGUCCCGAUCUCUGAACUGGAGCUCAGUGGAACCUCGUGGGGCACCUGCUCAUUCAGGUGUGUGCUUCUCAGAUCCUUAUCACCUGCCAUCCUCCAUGUUACCACCUGGCCAGUCCCCUCCCCCGCCCCGCUCCCUCCUGCACCUCACACUCCUCUGCCUGGGGGCCCAACUCCAGCCCGCAGCCGCAGGGGCCUGCCAGGGCGGCUGUCGCAUGGCAGUUGCUAACAGCGGUGCUGGCCAGACCCCACCACCACCACCACCAAGCCCUCACACUGGGAUCUGGGUUUUGUAGGCGACCGCUGAUCUGAGAGUUCUCCCUCUGUGUGUAUUUCACUCACACUCCAACGGGCCCAAAGCAAGCUGGACGCAUAAAUCGCUCAAAGAAAAUUGUAGGUUGAAAAUACUCACGGGACGUGAUGCUGAGCCCUGGCCGGGGUGGGGGGAGGAGGGGGCUGCAGGGCUGGGGCAAGAGGCGUCCCAGUCCACUGUCCACCUCCCCCGACUCAGCCUGCUGUGACCCUGAAGGAGCACAGAGGUGUUUCAAAGGCUGACACUGGGUCUCCCCUCUCCCCGCACCCCUGCAGCUGGCACACACACACACACACACACACACAUGCAUGUGCAAAUGGACACGUGCAUGUGCACACUCCAGCCCGAGGGACAAGGGAUCCACUACGGUGGAGCUGGGUGCAGAGACCGGAGGAGGGGACAGGACAAGGCUGGGGAGGGCCUCACUGAGGGACAGGGCAGGGUCUGAGCUGUGAGGGGCACACCGCAUCCUGGCUGCCCCGGCAGGUGAGGCCGUUCUGCCUAGGACGGUUCAUCUCCUGGCGCUGAGCCCAAGGUUGGAGCUCAGUAAGGGCUCGGGGAUGUUUGUUGAAUGAGAAAAUGUCAACAGUUCCAUUUCUUCUGGAAACCAAGACCCACAGGGUCCCCGGGUUGGCCACGUAGAGAACCAGGGGCUGCGAACAGCCUGCUGGGAACCCAAGGCUCAUGUUGGCUGAGAAGUGGCAGUCAGGGCUCAGGCAGCGAAGGAGCUGGAAGGUCAUGUCUGCGGGUCAUUGGAGUGGGCUGGGAAGCGCCAUUCCCGAGAACCUGUGCCACGCGUGGGCCAAGUCUCUCUCUGGAGCUAUGGCUGGUUUGGAGAGUCCGGUCCCGGCGGGUGGCCCCGGCCAAUGUAACAAAGGGUGAGGGCCAGCAGGUGGCGCUGUGACACGCCCCUGCGGACCCGGAGGUGACCUGGCUGGAGCGCAGGACCUGCGGGAGGGGAGCACUCCCGUUCCCCAGGCCGAUGCUGGUUCUCCACACGGCUGCCCUGAGCGAGGCCCGAGCCCUGUGAACCAGGCCCAGCUGCAGCCCGCGUUCCCUCUGCGGGCGGACGUGGACUGGACGGACGUUCCCCGGGGGCUGCACGGCUGGACACGCACAGCCACACCCUGCUUAGCCUGCCCUGUGCAAAGACCUGGGGAAGGCAGGGGCGAAACAGGAGGGCGCCUACUCGUCCCAAGGCUGCCUGCUGGGAGGAAAGCAGACCGCUCGCCCUCAGACGCCAGACUUGGCGCCCCUGUGCUCGCCGUGCCCUGCCGCGGCCACCGGGUGCCACCCGGAAGUCACUUGUGGGGUCAGAAGCCAGGGUCCCCCAGACUCUGCCACAAGGCACGAGCCUCAGAGGAGACCACAGAGUGGGAAGAUGUGGCACAGAGGCGGCCAACUCCCGUGACGGUAAAGCAUGCAACGGAUGGGCAGCAGCCCGCGGUCCUGACAGCAGCCUCGCUUCCGGCGUCAUCGCUUCCGGUGUCGGCACUUCCGGCAUCGUCACUUCCGGCGGCGCCAUUUCCCAUUGCCCUCGCCUAGUAAUGGUGACCCCAGGCUGAUAGUGGUCCUGGGCAGGCGCCCACCGUGCCGCCCCCCGCCCGGGCUGGCUCCCGGGGCGUGUCCCCGACACGUCUCCCGGCUCAGGCCUGGGGAUGGGUCCGAGGCUCGCUCAGCCUGGCUGCACGGUUGCCGAUGGGGGCGCAAAGGCCGCAGACUGAGGGGUCCUCCCGGUCAGACCACGGGAGGAGGGUGUCUGCUGCCCCAGGGGUGACCCACGUGCGGCUUCCGCGGGAGACAAAGCCCGCAGCCUUUCCACCUUGAGGACAGACUAUUUCCAAGCCAUCUUAAUAUUUGUUUUUAUUUGAAAGGCAGAGAGUCAGUGACAGACAGAUCUUCUGCCCGCUGGCUCGCUCCCCAAAUGUCCACACGAGCUGGGGCUGUGCCAGGCGCGAGCCAGAAGCCAGGAACUCAGUCUGGUGCUCCCACAUGGGUGGCACGGACCCAGUUGCUGGAGCCACCACCUGCCGCCUCCCGGGAUGCACAGUAGCAGGAAGCCGAAGCCGGGGGCGGAGCCAGAACCCACGCGCUCGCUGACAGCGAUGCGCGCGUCCCCAUGGCCUCUUCACCGCUCUGCCAGACGCCCACCGCAAGCCCUGCUUCAGAGAUUCUGAAAUGCAUAUUUAUGAUCUGCAGUAGCAGCUAGAAACACCAACUGUCGGGAGAGAUCAAUGGGGACUGAAUCACUCCGGGGGGAGUGGAAGUAGAUGACAAAGUCAUCUUGUUGGAUUCUGGGGUUUUGACAAGUGGAGCGCUGGUCCCUGUGGCCAGCGACACGGAUUCUGAAUGCCCUAAGGAGCCGCCCCGGCGGGGCGCCUGUCCACACACAUGGUGGGAGCUCCUUGUCUGGAUGGCGGGAGCCGCUGCCUGACUCACGCAUGGUUCUUCCUUCUGCACCUGAACUGGAGGUGCAGCCCGCGCCGGCCCUGCAGGCUCUCCCCAGCUCGUGCAAGGGCCAUGGGGGGCCCUCUGCAGGGGGAUGUGGGGGUGCUGGGGGGCUCGGGGCAGCUGGCUCAGAGCCUCCGACAUUGUCCUUCUUAGUAGCUGGACUCACACUUAUCAUACAAAUUAACCUCACUCCUGCAGGAGCAAAUAAAACUGAAUUCAACCACACGAGGACCACGGGCUGUCAUGAGUA